UCUUCUGUUUCACAAGGUGAAGCUGCCAGACUGCUUUGAGUGCUGGUAGGGAUUCUGAAUUUGGACUUUUGAGUGACACUAGAUCUUUUAAACCAUUGGCUGCUCUUGGAGUUGGACUAGAUGCAUUUUCUAGGUAGAAUCAACUGGAAAGUGAAUCUCAACUGAAAAAAUGUCUUCAUCGGAUUGGUGUACAGACAUGCUGUGGGGCAUUUUAAUUGUCGAUAUGGAGGAUCCAGCUCACUUUGAACAGCGACAUCCCAGCAAGAUAGUCCUGGGUGUUAGGUCUGAAAGAUGAGGUCUGUCUGGGACUUGUGUCUGCCGAGGCAUUAAUCCACACCAUCCCCUGAGAGCCUGACCUUCACCUGGCUGCUGAGUUCACCAGAGAGCAGUCAGUCAUGUGAUCGUCCUUGAGGACAAAGAGGCACCUUGUGAUUAAAAAUCACACAGACCCUGAGAUGGAGUGGAUUAGCCUAACAACCUUGAAGUCUCCUACGAUUUUUCACCGAAGGAAAUAAUGAACACACACAUCAUGAAGAAUUAGCAGCGAGGAGAGCAACACCCUCACUUUACGAAGUCUAGACUCAGAAAUAUGAAUGUCUUUGUCCCCAAAUAUGCCAGCUGGGAGCUGUGCUCAUCAAUCACUUCAGAAAUGGUUUCUUCCAAAUAAAACGACCUCUCAUACUAGGCCA
ensembl:antisense 1700100L14Rik uncharacterized LOC110308617